CGACUCUCGGCAACGGAUAUCUCGGCUCUCGCAUCGAUGAAGAACGUAGCGAAAUGCGAUACUUGGUGUGAAUUGCAGAAUCCCGUGAACCAUCGAGUCUUUGAACGCAAGUUGCGCCCGAACCCAUUAGGCCGAGGGCAUGUCUGCCUGGGCG
rnacentral:rRNA from 1 species